CAUCAAACCAACAACACCGUCCCGACACAAAACGGCGCAUCCUGCUGCGCCCCCUUCUUCUUCUGCUCCUGCUCCUGCUUCUGCUUCUGCUUCUUCUUCUUCAUCGUCGACGCGUUCCUGCUUCACCGUAGUCGACCACCUCGGCCACCUCCAAACCGUUACUUCCACCAUACGACGAGACUCGAUUCAUCUCGGAUCCAAGAGAUUACCAACAUCGAAUAUCAUCCAAUGGACCUUGGAUAGGAUCCCUGUACCGUUCUCCAGAACGGUGACCCUCCUACCGGAGGACGUUCGGAAACGUUCAACGAUUGAUCUACCGGAGGAUGAAGAGUUCACUGGCAGAUACCAGGUAGAACCAUGCGGUUCGUCGGCCCGGUACCAGGGUUCUCAUGAAUGGAGGAGGGUUCGCCAGGAUCGAUGAAGAGGGCGUGCCUUUCAGGGGAGGAUUGGUAUCCGUGACGUUUUCAACCCCACCUGAGAAGGGCGCAAACGGAGUGCACGUGCUCGAUUACGUCACAAGGAUAGCCGGCUUGUGACGAGAGUAAAGCCAUUCAGUGAUCCUGUCUCGUAGGGCGACCGACCACGUUUCCGGUCGCACCGGUCUACGGACAUCGUUAUCCAGUGAGGACAUCGUGAACGACAGUGUACCUUACAGAGAUGUUAGACUCGAUCGUUGGUGGAUUAGCUGAAGAAGAAGUGCAAUCAAUACGGAGAGGUCGAUGGAAGGAAGAUUCGUGUGAGUCUGUGCUCCUUGCGUUCACUGCGGGCUUCCAUGUGCCAACUUUUCAAAAUUCAUAAGGCACGCGGUGAAUGCCAAGAGCGGACCAAAUUCAACGUUUUAUGAUUCUCAACGCUAGCGAAGACCACUGGAUUUCAUGGUCGAAAACGCGUUACCAUUGUGUUAUACGACAGGUCAGUAAAGAUUUACAGUUCCUCGUCUGCGAUUAUAGUUCUCGUUCCAACCCUUAACGAUCAUAUACCGAUUACUUUGAAUAAAUUCAACACGUUUGCUACCAGUGAUGCCGAUUGAUAGUGGUCCAGGUCCUUUAAUUUUAUUAAAACUCUAUGCAUGGUUUGAAAUUAUAUUAUUUCAUUUUUUUUUAAAUGAGCAAUGACAGAUGAAAUUCGGAUCGAGUGGUAGUAGUGAACGUGUUAACCCUUGUGUAACCCAAAUGGUAAUAAUUUGUUGAUGAAACGUUAACUUCUGCUGAAAUGUAAUAAAAAUUGCAAGGGUGCACAAGGGUUGGAGUAGACGUUGAUUGGGUAUCUUUGAAACACCUGUACCUUGCAUUUAAUUUUUCUUUCUCCUGCCAGAACUGUAGUGCAUUGAACGUGUAGACGACUCUCUGAAUCGACAAACACCAUGUACAGUAACAACCCCUCUGAAUAUUUUGUACAUAUUUUGUAAUAAAAAAGAGCCACCGUUUUACCCCUUUGU